rnacentral:rRNA from 1 species
AAAGACUGUUCUCAGUUCGGACUGCAGUCUGCAACUCGACUGCACGAAGCUGGAAUCGCUAGUAAUCGCGGAUCAGCACGCCGCGGUGAAUACGUUCCCGGGCCUUGUACACACCGCCCGUCACACCAUGGAAGUCUGCAAUGCCCGAAGCCGGUGGCCUAACCACUUAUGUGGAAGGAGCCGUCUAAGGCAGGGCAGAUGACUGGGGUGAAGUCGUAACAAGGUAAC